UUUGUGCCCAAAUCAACUAAAAAA
rnacentral:siRNA from 1 species